CAGGAGCAAUGGGAGUGCUGGGACACAUCAGGAUGCUUUUGGGACCUUGAGUGCCCACCCUCACUGCAGCUGAUGAGUCAGUGCUGCUUUUCAGAGCAGAAGUGCUGUCCAGCAAGCCUGCAGAAGAGAAGGGUCAGCAUUUCUCAGCUUCUGCUCUGCACUCACGGACAGGACUGGUGUUGGGAGCUUCUGUCUCCCUCUGAGCACAGGCAGUGCCUCUAUUCCUGCCUGCCCACCAUCCGUGAUGCUGCUUCUCCUGACCUCUGCAGCCCUCUGUCCUGCCCUCUGGGACAAACACUGCACAAGCUCCUGGGCAGAGUGUUGCUCCUCAUGUCAAAAGUGUCAUUUGGAAAAAAAAAGAACAAACCACAAAACCAAAGACCCCAUGAAGUGGCCACCUCCUGCUGACAGCACUAAACUCCCUGAGUGUGAGAGGACACCCAGGCCUUUCAGUGUGUCACCUUAGGCUGUCAUCCUUCGUACCAACCCCCCAUCUCUGCAGGACCAUCCCGUGGCACCAUGCCCAUCUCUGCACUGGCAGUGCAAGAACUACGAAGACUGAGGUGAAGUUGUCGAAGAGCAAGAUGGAGCUCCAUGCUGAAGUUCACCACUCUUGAGACUUCUGUAGGUUUUGGGUGAAGACAAGAUGUGAGAGUUACUAAAGUAAUGAAGAUCUAACGACAUAAACAAGGCAGUUGUUUGGAAGACUCCGGGUUACACAGGCCACAAAACUACAGCUCAGUUCACUGGAAAUGAUGGUGUCUGGGGAAGAGAAUCUCUUGUCUGGAACAGCAGAGGACAUUUCAGGUCAGAACUAAGAACUUCUUUGCUAUCAGUGAUGGCCUUCAAAGAGCUCCCGAGAGAUGCACUUGCCUCAUGUCAGCCCUGUGAGUCACUCUUUUACACAAGUAAUAAAUGUAUCCAGAUUAUAUAUACUUAAUGACAGAAACCAGGCUUUAUAUCUUGUUUCAUUAAAGAUGUCUUAUUUCCUCAACUGUUCAACAUGAAGACAUCUCCCCAGUGCUGUGUGGCAGCUGUGUGUAACCUGAAUUCAGAGGGCUGUCUGACCCAGUCAGGGCAAGUUUGUAGUUCAGACAGAUCCAAAACCUCCCCUAGUUUUGCCCUUAGAUUACCCUCUAGAUUAUUUGUGAAAAAGUCCCUGCCAUUUAGCAGCAGAAUAAAUUAUUUGUUUAGAGUUUGAAGAGAACCCCAAAGCUUUCUUUCCCCUUGUUCCAUGCAGCUCAGCACCUCACUUUUGCUGCUCUCAUUCUGUGUGGAUCAGUUGAGGGUGAAGUUAUCUCAACAGGUUCCUGGGGGGCCUCUUGGGCCUCAUUUCCCAGAGUUGGUAUUUUUAAAGAAUGCAAGAUUAUAUGAGGGGUGGGCUACAUAUGUCCAAAAUAAGGCAGGCAUUCUGAGAGAAGUCGAGAUGUGCUGGUUGGAAAAGGCACAAAGGACCCACAUCCAAGGCCCAGCGGAUCAAUGGAAGGAUGUGCAACGCCCUAAUCUGAUGAAGCGCGGCGCAACAAGACGCUCAGAAACUGAAGACUUUGAUACCUGAGCCCUGUAGCAAAGAUUCCCUGGAUGCCAUGAAGGUGAAUUGAGGUUAGCAGGGAGCAGAUAAAUACAGGAGGGUGCAGACUUCCAUACACCUGAUGAGGGAGCACAGCUUGCUUUCAUCUAAGCGGGGCCCUGUGUUUUCUAAACACAUCAGAUGCUGUGUUCUUGUUUUGGUUUGGUUUUCAUUAUUAAAAACGCA